GAGUUCCACUAAGCAAGUUUUGAGAUCGUUUUAAAAACAAAAACUUGACACGUUGAGCUCGU
rnacentral:pre_miRNA from 3 species